rnacentral:lncRNA from 1 species
GCCAGCAAGGGAGACAGUGUCUAGAGGCAGUCAUCUAGCAAGAUGGAGACUUACAACAUGAGGCACAUACAAGAGUGACCUCCCAUCGUCUUUGAGGCAUUCUAUUUCUUGUGUCUUUGUGAAGCUUCCUAUCUUUGCUUUUCAACUAAGAUGAAACAGCAUUUAAAAGAAAAUGCCAUGUGAGAUGAGAUCAGGAGAAUGGAUUCUUUCUUUCAUCUGAAUAGAGAGCUGCUGUUCGAGAUUCUAACUCAAAUAGCUCAAAGGACACCUUCUCCGGGAAACCUUCCCUGACUUCCGACGCUGUUUCCUGUUGGGCAUCUAUGUAAAUCAUUUGGAGUUUUUGCCUUUCCUCUUAGAAGAAAAAUAUGAAUGAUUUGACUGAACAGGCCUAUAGCCAAACCCAAGAUGAUCUUUCCAAGCGUGAACUCCAUCUUCAAACUUCUAAUCUUAAACCUUAAAGAAGAAACUAUGGCAAUGUCUCUUCCACCACUCUUGACUAGCAUGAUGUGUUGCCAAAAGACUUCAGAUCAUAAGUGCGAAAUAAAAAAUCAAAAAUUGACUGCAUCUUUUCUCAUUGCUCAACAACUGUCAAACAACUGAGAAAUUUGUUUUGGAUGAAGCAGUAACAUUCCUUCUUCCACUCCCAGCCCCAUUCCACGUAGUCUGCAGUUCCUCACUGACCACUGAUUGAUGUCAACGUGCAAACUCUCAGACAGAAGACAAGAAAUAUGUCCUGGGUUUUCUGGUUCCUCAAGCUUCUGACUAGGACCAGAGCCAGCAAUUACACACACUUAUCCCUAUUCUUUCCAUGAAUGCAGAGAAAGAAAGACCUUCUUGGGCUGUAAGAAAUACUCUAUUCCUCACACAUAAUAACUAAGGCUCAGCAGCUUGUAAAAAGGCAUGGUCCAGGGCAUGUCAGGACAAGGAAGAGCGGUAAGUUGUUUCUCUGUCUUUCCUCUGUAUUCUUUCAUAAUUGGGACAAGGCCUCAGCUGACAAGGAGCUGGCAGAACACUGGGGACAGCUGGUAUGUAAGAACCAACACCGUCCCAUCAGUCAUUUAUUCAACACAUGUUUAUUGAGUAUCUGCAACGUGACUGCACCGUUAUAGAGUCUGCAUUGUUGUAGGUCCUGAGAAAAAAACUGCAAAGCAAAAGUACACACAGGCUUGCCCUCCUGAAAUGUACAGUCAGGUGGAGAUGGCAGAUAUUAAGAAACUAACUUGUGCUAUUGAAGUUUAAAAGAAAGGGAUCUUACUGAGUCUGAGGAGAGGGAUGAAUCAAUGCAGACUUCCUAGAAGAACUGGCAUAUAAACCAAGAACUGAAAGAGGAAUAGACAUUAAACCAGAAAACAGAAUGGAAGAAAAAUAGAUUUACGAUGCAAAAACCGUAAAGGAAAGAGUUCAGUAUGACUGGAAUAUAUAGACAGAAGAUAAUGGUUUAUGAUAAGACUGAAAAGGAAUGCAGGGUCUAGAUAAAGAGACUCUUCAAAUUAGUAAGAAUUUUUUUGAGACAAUAAAAGACCAUUUUGCUUUGGCAAAAUAAUAAUAAUAAUAACACUCAGUGUAGUGUGAACUAUAAAUUUAGGAGAGCAAGAGUAAUUGUGGGGAAAUCAGUUAAGAGACUUGCUUUAGCCAAGAAAACAGUUGAUGUUGGAUUAAACCAUGGAGAAGAUAAUGGAGAUAAUGACAAGUGGACAGAUUUUGGAAAUCAAUAUCUUUUGGUAAUUAAUUGAACAUAGGAGAAAGAAGAAAAGAUGGGGUUACAUAGGACUCUGAAAUUUCUGAACAAUCAGCUGGGAAGAUGAUAGCAUUAUUUGUUGUGUAAAGAACAUGAGAAGAGGCUCGGGAUUGGAAGGACACAUGAGGAGCUCUGGUUUUGACACAGUGAGUGUGGUAUAUGGGCUCUCACUUACGUGGGUCUAGAGCUAAGAAGAGAAGUCAUGGGUUGGACGCAAAAGUGUGGGUUUUGGCAGCAUUUAGGUAGUAAAAAUUUGGCAAAUGGUUAAGAGUAUAUUACAGGAAAAGAAAAUAAUUUAGGUCAGAGUCCAGAGGAAAGCAUACAUUUAACACAGAAGAAUAAAACCUGAGAAAUAACUGGUAAACGAGAUUAGGAAGCAGUCAGAGAGGAAGAAAGCCAGGAGGAUACGGUGUGGCAUGGAAGCCAAUGGAGAGAUUGUUUCAAGAAGAAGAAGAUAGUUAACAGUAGGGAAUUAUCAACAUAGAGAUUAAGAAAUGUGGAUUUACCAAUAAGGAGGACAUUCGUGUUCUUCAAAAUGAAAACCAGAGAAGAGGUAAAAGCAAAAAAAAAAAAAAAAAAUUGUCAAGAGGCAAGAACAGAACUUGAAAGAGAAUACCAGGAAACCAUGGAAAGUGAAGAUAGACUUAGAGAGUAUGGUCAAAAGUUAGGACAGAGAAAUCAGAUGAGCUGAUCUGAAAUCCAGAAACUAUUCAUGGAGAACACACCCCAGGCGAGUGACUUUUGAAAGUCCUUUCCUUUAUACUUACCUAUAUUAAUUGCUGAAUGUAAAAAUAUCAUAUUUUAAUUAUUUAUUACCAAAAUAAUGUAUUUCCUUGUGGAAUAACUUAAAAAAUGUAGAAGAGUAAAGAAAUGAUCCAUAUUCUUCGCAUAAAAAGAAAAACAAUAUUGAUGUUUGCUCUUUCCAUCAGAAUUGUCCAAAUAAAUAAUCAUUCUAUACACAUUACUUUGAAAUAUGUUUUCUUUGCAUAAUAUUUUAGCAUAACCAAUUAUAUUUUAUUAUAAGUUGGGUUGAGUUGGAUCAUUACAUUUGAAGUAAAAUUUAAGAAAUAGUAAUUAAACUUUUUAAAG